rnacentral:rRNA from 1 species
GACGAACGCUGGCGGCGUGCCUAAUACAUGCAAGUAGAACGCUGAAGUCUGGUGCUUGCACUAGACGGAUGAGUUGCGAACGGGUGAGUAACGCGUAGGUAACCUGCCUCAUAGCGGGGGAUAACUAUUGGAAACGAUAGCUAAUACCGCAUAACAGUAUUUACCGCAUGGUAGAUAUUUGAAAGGAGCAAUUGCUUCACUAUGAGAUGGACCUGCGUUGUAUUAGCUAGUUGGUGAGGUAACGGCUCACCAAGGCUUCGAUACAUAGCCGACCUGAGAGGGUGAUCGGCCACACUGGGACUGAGACACGGCCCAGACUCCUACGGGAGGCAGCAGUAGGGAAUCUUCGGCAAUGGGGGCAACCCUGACCGAGCAACGCCGCGUGAGUGAAGAAGGUUUUCGGAUCGUAAAGCUCUGUUGUAAGAGAAGAACUGUGAGAAGAGUGGAAAGUUUCUCACUUGACGGUAUCUUACCAGAAAGGGACGGCUAACUACGUGCCAGCAGCCGCGGUAAUACGUAGGUCCCGAGCGUUGUCCGGAUUUAUUGGGCGUAAAGCGAGCGCAGGCGGUUUGAUAAGUCUGAAGUAAAAGGCUGUGGCUUAACCAUAGUACGCUUUGGAAACUGUCAAACUUGAGUGCAGAAGGGGAGAGUGGAAUUCCAUGUGUAGCGGUGAAAUGCGUAGAUAUAUGGAGGAACACCGGUGGCGAAAGCGGCUCUCUGGUCUGUAACUGACGCUGAGGCUCGAAAGCGUGGGGAGCGAACAGGAUUAGAUACCCUGGUAGUCCACGCCGUAAACGAUGAGUGCUAGGUGUUGGGUCCUUUCCGGGACUCAGUGCCGCAGCUAACGCAUUAAGCACUCCGCCUGGGGAGUACGACCGCAAGGUUGAAACUCAAAGGAAUUGACGGGGGCCCGCACAAGCGGUGGAGCAUGUGGUUUAAUUCGAAGCAACGCGAAGAACCUUACCAGGUCUUGACAUCCCGAUGACCGCCCUAGAGAUAGGGUUUCUCUUCGGAGCAUCGGUGACAGGUGGUGCAUGGUUGUCGUCAGCUCGUGUCGUGAGAUGUUGGGUUAAGUCCCGCAACGAGCGCAACCCCUAUUGUUAGUUGCCAUCAUUCAGUUGGGCACUCUAGCGAGACUGCCGGUAAUAAACCGGAGGAAGGUGGGGAUGACGUCAAAUCAUCAUGCCCCUUAUGACCUGGGCUACACACGUGCUACAAUGGCUGGUACAACGAGUCGCAAGUCGGUGACGGCAAGCUAAUCUCUUAAAGCCAGUCUCAGUUCGGAUUGUAGGCUGCAACUCGCCUACAUGAAGUCGGAAUCGCUAGUAAUCGCGGAUCAGCACGCCGCGGUGAAUACGUUCCCGGGCCUUGUACACACCGCCCGUCACACCACGAGAGUUUGUAACACCCGAAGUCGGUGAGGUAACCUUUUAGGAGCCAGCCGCCUAAGGUGGGAUAGAUGAUUGGGGUGAAGUCGUAACAAGGUAGCCGUAUCGGAAGGUGC